UACGUAGGGUGCGAGCGUUAAUCGGAAUUACUGGGCGUAAAGCGUGCGCAGGCGGUUCUGUAAGCCAGAUGUGAAAGCCCCGGGCUUAACCUGGGAAUGGCAUUUGGGACUGCAAGGCUUGAGUGCGGCAGAGGAGACUGGAAUUCCUGGUGUAGCAGUGAAAUGCGUAGAUAUCAGGAGGAACACCGAUGGCGAAGGCAGCUCGCUGGGACGGUACUGACGCUGAGGCGCGAAAGCGUGGGGAGCAAACAGG
rnacentral:rRNA from 1 species